rnacentral:misc_RNA from 1 species
AAGUCGUAACAAGGUUUCCGUAGGUGAACCUGCGGAAGGAUCAUUCUUGAUAAUUUAGCAUUUGCUAUAAUAUCUUUGUGCACCGUUACAGUCAUUUGGCCGCCGAAAGGUUGUCAUUUGGCACCAAUUUUAAUUUACCUAAUAACUUAUUAUACGAGUAUCAUAAUUUUAUGACAACUUUUAGCAAUGGAUCUCUAGGCUCUC